AAAUUGGAACGGAGGAAGUAUUAGAUUAGGAAUGAUUAUAUUCGGGAGAAGGUGCACGUGGCUUCCAUUGCUGACAAGAUGCGGGAAGCGUGACUCAGAUAGUUCGGACAUGUUCAGAAGAGAAGCCCAGAUGCUCCAGUAAGGAUGUGUGAGCGACUGAUUGUGGAGGGCACGAGAAGAGGUAGAUGAUGGCCUAAGAAGUAUUGAGUAGAAGUGAUCAGACAAGAUAUGGUGAAACUUCAAAUUUUGAAGAAUGAUAUGAAGAUUUAGAUGUUGAGUAUCAGGGUUGUAGGUUGGGAGGUAGUCGAGUCUUGCCUUAUUUCGUACUUUUGUGAGACUAGUGUGA
rnacentral:lncRNA from 1 species